GGGCGAUUAGCUCAGCUGGUUAGAGCGCCGUUCUCACACAGCGGAGGUCACUGGUUCGAGUCCAGUAUCGCCCACUA
rnacentral:tRNA from 1 species